UUUCAAGAUUAAGGAAGUUAGUUCUGGGUGAAGAGUCCUAAGUUCAGGUCCAGCAGCAAGGCAGGAGGCUGAAGAGUGGGAACCUAUCCUACCACUAACUUGUCCAUACUGCUGACCUGGAAGAACAGAAGCAGAGUCACAUCCCAGGGAAGGUAUCAGAAAUGGGAAGAAGAACUCAGAUGAUCAAGGGACUGGAACCUCACCUUCCUAUUUGUAGGCAUCGGCUUGCUAGCAGGCCCUGUUGGAUAUCCUGUGCUUGGUCUUCAGUGAAACCCUGGGCCAGACUUGCCUUCACAGUAAUGAAAUUGCAGAAAUGCAGAACUGGUCUCUGGCUGUAAAGGAAGAUAACUGACCGUGCUGAGGAGGAUCCUGCUUACCCUGCAAGCUGUGGAGGAGUUCCCUGAAUCCUUCCAGCGCAUCUUGAGCCAACUGCUGUCGCCUCAGAAACUGACGCGAGUCCUGAGCCACCUACGAAUGUGGAAUGGGGUAUCACUGAGGAUCGAUCUUUAUUUUCUUUCUCCCGUUGCAACAGUGGCAAGUGAUGUCUUUCUCCAGUCACUUCUGGCUCCUGGGGGAAGGUCAAACUCAAUACCUCUCCGUUAGCUGAGGUCUAGGCAGCUGGCGUGUGGUCCUGAGGAGCUCAGAGGCGUCUGGUGCGACAAGGCUGGGCCCGGACCCCCGGAGGGGCCUGCUGAAGGGGACCCAGAAGGGGCAGCUCGCCCCUUAUAGGAAAAAUAGAAAAGGAAAAACUCUUCCCGACGCUGAGCCGGCUCCAACCCCGCCUCUUCCACCUCGUCUCUGGUUGGCCCUGCCGUCAAAACUCUCAGCUGCGGUUGGUCAUCUUCAAGGAGCAUUAACACGCUACCACAUUCUGCUCAAUCUCGUGCAGUCUGACUGCUGGCUGCGGUGACCCUGGGCUUGAGCAGUCUGCACUGCUGAAAGACACUUCCGAUUCCUUUCAACAAAUGGACUCAGAUGACUUGAAUAUCCGUAUAUAAAAACAAAACAAAACUGUGGCCCUUACCAGAGAUAAAACAACUCAAUUAUGUAUAGUUAGAACUUUAUUAACAUUAAAAACUCUUGGGGCAAAACGAAAA